GUUAGACAGAAGCUCCCAGGGCCCCAGGCUGACCUCCAGCCCUCAGCUAGUGGCAGCACUGUUAGAGAAUCAUUGAGACGGGCUAAGGAGCCGUGAAAAUAGCUCCACCGGUAGAAGUGGUCCUCCCUUAAAGUCCUCCCUGCCCUUUAAGAAGACAGGCAAAAAUGAGGGGGAUACAUCAUCCCAAACUAUUAGUGUUCUGAAUUUGAGGUUGCCAGAAGGGGAAGGAUGGGGGGAAGGGGAGUUUGGGAGGGACAUGUACACACUGCUGAAUUUAGGAUGGAUGACCAGUAGGGACCUACUGCAUAGAAUAGGGAACUCUGCUUAAUGUUAUGUGGCAGCCUGGAUGGGAAGGGAGUUUGGGGGAGAAUGGAUACAUGUACGGAUACAUACAUAUCCAUACAUAUAUGGCUGAGUCCCUUUGCUGUCUACCUGAAACCAUCACAAUAUUGUUAAUUGGCUAUGCUCCAGUAUAAAAUAAAAAGUUUUGCCAUACAUUGACAUGAUUCAUGUCAAUGUAUGGCAAAACCACUGCAAUAUUAUAAAGUAAUUAGCCUCCAAUUAAAAUAAAAAGUUCAAACAAAUACUGCUGUGUCUCCAGCUCUUACUGAUUCUUAUUCCAUUAAUUUUAAUCUUUGAAGCCUGUAGAGGCAGCAGAGCACAAGCGUGGAAUGACUGUUCCUGGUCCCUUUAGGGGCAGAAGACUUGGAUCUGGCUGGGACACCCCCAUCCACGCCUGUCAGCCAUCAGUUAGUGCCUGGGCUCCCAUGGACCGGAAACAAAGCAGAAACGCGAAUCCCCGGCUCGGGCUUUUACUGGAAGAUGGGCAAAGUGAGGAGGAGCAGGAGGGGAUAGGAUGUGACUGA
rnacentral:lncRNA from 1 species